rnacentral:lncRNA from 1 species
AUAACUGCAUGAUAAUACUUCCCAUAAAUUAUAGUAAUGUUAAUUGUCUCCCUCAAAGCAAGGCCAUUAAGCCGCUUACUGCUUCUACCUUAAUAAUUUAUUUUGAUAUUUCUUGUGGCCCUACCUUUUCAACGGUCUUUUACUUUUUACCCAGAGGGGAUGUAAACACCUCCCUGACAGUCCUUUGUUGUAUAUUUCAUCUCUAAGUAUAACAGGAGAGGGAAGCAAAUGACCAAAUAGGUCGUGAUAAGCUCUGCAGCCAACCAAGACAAAAGGCUCUAGAAGACUACAGUAGGAAGAGCUUCAUUCGGAAAUACAAAUCCUAACACAUGGAAAAAAGCCUGGGGGAGACUGGAAAAUGCACAUGGCUAACAAGCUCCUGGAAUGCCCGUGCUGUUGCUCUAUAGGACCACAGGCUUUUUUCUUCUUUGUAAAUUGGAGAUAAAAAUAAUGUCUACCUCCUGGGGUUUUGAGAAGAUUAAACAUAAUAAUGGACAUGAGCACCUUGGACAAGUACCUGGCCUCAAGUAAGCACCAGUGCAUAUAAAUACUUAUUCUCUUUCUUAUACCUGGUUAGAUAAGAGUUAAAAAUGUAUCCUAGCAGUCUUGAUACAAAAAAACAGUGAAGAAAGCUCUUUAAUGGUACAACUAUGUGUCAUCCUUGUCUAGGAGCAUAAAUUUGCACAGCAGGCAGUGCAGUGAAAACAGCUCAUAAUCAACUCAUCACCUCUCAUCAUUGCUAGGAUCAAAUGCAAAUGGGAAAGAAUGCCACUUCAGUCAUUGCUAGUGAAAAUUAGCAUCUGUGACACUAAUGGUGUCUCAUUUAGUAUGCACUUUAGAUUAAAAAGAAUGGUUAAAAAAAAGGCUAUUUCCAGAACUGUCAUUAUUCUAACGUUUCCCUCAAAAAUAACAAUGGUACUUGAAUCUCCUUUACUCAAAGAAAAACCUGCUAAAAUUUAUUAACACGGAUCAUUAAUCCCUCUCAAGUAAAGGCCAAGAUGUUCUAAUUACAGUCACUAACUUUAAUUUGUGGGAUCCAUGUCUUUCUAUUUUCAAAAUUUCUUCCAUAUUCUUUAACCUGGACCAAGUUCUACCUUUAGGUAACAAUGGGAUUCUUUCAUAACAUUGGGUAUAUUAGAGUUCUUAACAUAAAGCUUAAAAUGAGUUACAGUUGUACUGAUACACAAACAUUUUUACACACAUAUUAACAGACUUGCUACAAAGAAACAAUAAGACAGGGAUGCCCUCUCUCACCACUCCUAUUCAACAUAGUGUUGGAAGUUCUGGCCAGCGCA